rnacentral:rRNA from 1 species
UACGUAGGGUGCAAGCGUUAAUCGGAAUUACUGGGCGUAAAGCGUGCGCAGGCGGCUUGCAAGACAGAUGUGAAAUCCCCGGGCUCAACCUGGGAACUGCAUUUGUGACUGCAUGGCUAGAGUACGGUAGAGGGGGAUGGAAUUCCGCGUGUAGCGGUGGAAUGCGUAGAGAUCCGGAAGAACACCGGUGGCGAAGGCGGCCCGCUGGGCUGUUGCUGACGCUGAGGCGCGACAGCGUGGGGAGCAAACAGG